CAGCAGCCACGGUAAUACGUAGGGUGCGAGCGUUAAUCGGAAUUAUUGGGCGUAAAGCGGGCGCAGACGGUUACUUAAGCAGGAUGUGAAAUCCCCGGGCUCAACCUGGGAACUGCGUUCUGAACUGGGUGACUAGAGUGUGUCAGAGGGAGGUAGAAUUCCACGUGUAGCAGUGAAAUGCGUAGAGAUGUGGAGGAAUACCGAUGGCGAAGGCAGCCUCCUGGGAUAACACUGACGUUCAUGCCCGAAAGCGUGGGUAGCAAACAGGAUUAGAUACCCGAGUAGUCCCUGUCUCUUAUAC
rnacentral:rRNA from 1 species